CCAGCAGGUCCGGGCUGCAAUCCGGACCAAAGCCUGCCGGCCGCGCUUUGUCCCGCCGUGAGCGCGGGUUUCCGCGGCGUGGGGCAGGGAGCGCCCGCACCCCCGCCCCCGUGGCCGCGGAGGGUCGCCCGGCCGCUGCCGGCGGAGAGGCGACGCUUCCCGUAGGAAAACAGCCUUAGGCGUGCGGGCGGCGGGGGAAUAAAUUGAGGAGCGGGAAUAACGCCCUGCGGAGGGACAGACGGCAGCGGAGCGCUGCAGGGCGCUCGGCGGCAGGGGUGGGGAAGGUCCAAGUACUCAUGCAUAAAAAGAAGAACACCCCGCAACCACAAAGGCCCGAUUCUGCUCUAACUUACGUUGCCGGUCCUCCUCGCGGAGCCUGGACCCACGCGUGUGUGUAGAAUUGCACACUCUGAACGAAACCGCUCUGGAGGGCAGCCGGGUGUGCUGCUGCCAUGCUGCUCAGUGGCACCGAGGUCCCGUGGGACUGGGAGCACGAGGUGGCGGAUAACGACCUGAAUGCUUGUGGUCCAUCCCUCUUUCUCUUAUGCACCAUUGGGACAAGGGUGGGCCAGAAGAUUACUUUGGAGCUCAUGUAAGUGACACUCCAAGGAAUGGCUGGCAGCGGGUUCAGCGGCCCCGGCCCCUGGAGCUGCAGGAUGUCAUCCCCGUGACAUGCCUGGAAACCCCAGCUCAUCCCUCAACUGUCCGGUUACAGCAGCAUCUCCGUCAUGUUGCACUUCAAGUCUGUCACAGGCAUGGGUUCACGCUCCUCACCCGGGAACCCUUCUCUUUUUUGCUGAGGACCGUAUUUUUAUUUUUAACGCAGAGUCCUUCACAUCAGUGGCAGUGAGGGUUUCUUUUGCAAGAUGGCAUUCCGCCAUAGGAGGGGUUGGCUGGGGAUCAUACACCAAAUGUACACACAUGUGCUAAGAGAGGAGCUGUGCAUGAAAGCCACCUAAACAGCCACCUAAACAUAAAUUUGAAAUUUAUUUCUUUUUCAGUGAUUUUGAAAGGUCUUGGGCCAGUAGCUCUGGACACCAGCUCUGGUCUCUGCACUUUCUCUUUCACAUCACUCUGUGGGAAGCAGUUUUCGGGAGACCUCUGCCUGCCUGGAGGUGUGGGGCUGUCCCAGCAGCUUUGCCCCACACCAGCCACCCGGUUCCUGGAGCCCAGGACGCUCCUGGUGGGGGGACGCAGCCAGAGCGCUCCCACCAGCUGUAGCCAGACAUUAUGGCUCAUGCUGGAGGGACUCACUGCCGGCACCGUAAUUGCAGGCUAGCUAGAUUUUUGCUGUGGUAUUACAAAUUCCCCCAGGGAAGCCCACAACUAUGACCAUUUACAUGGUAACAUUGUCAGGCAUGAGUCAUUUUCUUCUCUCUCUCUCUGUCUGUCUCUGUUUCUCCCUCACACACACACACAAACAAAUGCGAGCACAAAUCAACAAACUGGUAAAUAAAAUUUAAAUGAUGCUUUAGUGCAUUUUCAGCCCUCUUUUUCUGGCUGAGUGUACAGUUUGAUGUACUUUUUUUUUUGUUGCUAUAAAAUGUAGCACAAAAUGUGUGGGCCAUGUGAAUGUUGAUACUGGAAUGAUGACUUUUGCAUCUUCUGCUUCGUAUUAUAUUUUUUUACCGGGCUGCCUUUAAGAGUCCUUUAACUAAAAAAUUAGUCAGGAAAAUGAAUCCUUAAAAAACAAAUCUUUUUCAAUAUAAUAAAACAGGAAACUUGCAAAGUGAGUGACAGGGUCACUGUUUAAGAAGUUUUUUCACCUGACUCUCCUUCAUUAAUGCUCCCGCUCUGCUAAGCUUCUUCCCGCCCUUUCCUACACAUCCGAAUAAAUGCAAUGUGUGUAGUCU